CCUACGGGAGGCUGCAGUGGGGAAUAUUGCACAAUGGGGGAAACCCUGAUGCAGCAACGCCGCGUGAGUGAAGAAGUAUUUCGGUAUGUAAAGCUCUAUCAGCAGGGAAGAGAAUGACGGUACCUGACUAAGAAGCCCCGGCUAACUACGUGCCAGCAGCCGCGGUAAUACGUAGGGGGCAAGCGUUAUCCGGAUUUACUGGGUGUAAAGGGAGCGCAGACGGCUGUGCAAGUCUGGAGUGAAAGGCGGGGGCCCAACCCCCGGACUGCUCUGGAAACUGUAAAGCUGGAGUGCAGGAGAGGUAAGCGGAAUGUCUAGUGUAGCGGUGAAAUGCGUAGAUAUUAGGAGGAACACCAGUGGCGAAGGCGGCUUACUGGACUGCAACUGACGCUGAAGCACGAAAGCGUGGGUAUCGAACAGGAUUAGAUACCCGAGUAGUC
rnacentral:rRNA from 1 species